UCAAGCUAUAAAGAGCGUAGGGAGAAUGACUUGGCAUCAGGAGCCGAAGAAGGACGUGACAAGCUGCGAAAAGCUGCGGUUAGGAGCAAAUAUCCAUAGACCCGCAGAUAUCCGAAUGGGGAAACCCGGUACGGCAAUACCGUAUCACUGCAUGGUAAAUACAUAGCCAUGUGGAGGAAACCCUCUGAACUGAAACAUCUAAGUAGGAGGAGGAAGAGAAAGAAACAUCGAUUUCCUAAGUAGCGGCGAGCGAAAGGGAAAGAGGCCAAACCAGAGAUAGCAAUAUCUUUGGGGUUGCGGACUGCAAAAUUGAUUCAAUAUUUUUAGCAGAAGUGUAUGGGAAGACACACCAUAGUAGGUAAUAGUCCUGUAAGCGAAAAGGAUAUUGACAAGGCAGGAUCCAGAGUACCACCGGACACGAGGAACCCGGUGGGAAGCCGGGGGGACCACCCCCCAAGCCUAAAUACUACCUGAUGACCGAUAGUGAAAAGUACAGUGAUGGAAAGUUGAAAAGAACCCCGGAAGGGGAGUGAAAAAGAAUCUGAAACCCUAUGUUUACAAGCUGCUAAAGCACCAUAUGAGUGCGAUAGCGUACUUUUUGUAGAACGGUCCGGCGAGUGUAUGUUGCAAGCGAGGUUAAGGUGUUAAGCACUGAAGCCGAAGGGAGACCGAGUGUGAAUAGCGCGUACAGUUUGCAGUAUACGACCCGAAACCGGGUGACCUAACCAUGGACAGGUUGAAGUGGAAGUAAAAUUCCAUGGAGGACCGAACCCACGUCUGUUGAAAAAGGCGGGGAUGAGCUGUGGUUAGCGGUGAAAUUCCAAUCGAACUCGGAUAUAGCUGGUUCUCAUCGAAAUAGCUUUAGGGCUAGCCUCAGGAUAGUUUAGCGGAGGUAAAGCACUGAAUGGGCUAGGGGGCUUCACGGCUUACCGAACCCUAUCAAACUCUGAAUGCCGCAUAAAUGUUUCCUGGGAGUCAGACUGCGUGAGAUAAGUUUCGUAGUCAAAAGGGAAAGAGCCCAGACCUACAGCUAAGGUCCCUAAAUGAAUUUAAGUGGAAAAGGAUGUGCAGUUGCGUAGACAACUAGGACGUUGGCUUAGAAGCAGCCACUCAUUUAAAGAGUGCGUAAUAGCUCACUAGUCGAGUGAUUGUGCGCCGAAAAUGUAACGGGGCUAAAAUUCAUACCGAAGCUUAGGAAUGAUAGUAAUAUUGUUGGUAGAUGAGCGUUGUGUAAGUCUGCGAAGCUACACCGAAAGGAGUAGUGGAGAUAUCACAAGUGAGAAUGCCGGAAUGAGUAGCGAGAAUUAUGUGAGAAUCAUAAUGGUCGAAAAUCUAAGGUUUCUUGAGGAAGGUUCGUCCGCUCAAGGUAAGCCGGGAGCUAAGGCGAGGCCGAGAGGCGUAGUCGAUGCACAUACGGUAAAGAUUCCGUAGCCACCGAAGUCGUUAAAUACAGGGACACAGGAACAUAGCCCAUCCCCACCGUUGGUUGAGUGGGGCGUAAGGGAGCGAAAAAUAGUAGCGAAGUAGGUGAUUGUACACUGGCGAGAAAAGCUGUAUGAAUUGACAAGGUGCCCGUACCGCAAACCGACACAGGUAGAUGAGGAGAGAAUCCUAAGACCAGCGGGAGAAGUGUUGUUAAGGAACUCGGCAAAAUGACCCCGUAACUUCGGGAUAAGGGGAGCCUACGAGAGUAGGCCGCAGAGAAUAGUCUCAAGCGACUGUUUAGCAAAAACACAGGUCUAUGCUAAAUCGAAAGAUGAUGUAUAUGGGCUGACGCCUGCCCGGUGCUGGAAGGUUAAGGGGAAGUGUUAGAGCAAUCGAAGCACUGAACUUAAGCCCCAGUAAACGGCGGCCGUAACUAUAACGGUCCUAAGGUAGCGAAAUUCCUUGUCAGGUAAGUUCUGACCCGC
rnacentral:rRNA from 1 species